rnacentral:rRNA from 2 species
AAAUUGAAGAGUUUGAUCAUGGCUCAGAUUGAACGCUGGCGGCAGGCCUAACACAUGCAAGUCGAACGGUAACAGGAAGCAGCUUGCUGCUUUGCUGACGAGUGGCGGACGGGUGAGUAAUGUCUGGGAAACUGCCUGAUGGAGGGGGAUAACUACUGGAAACGGUGGCUAAUACCGCAUAACGUCGCAAGACCAAAGAGGGGGACCUUCGGGCCUCUUGCCAUCAGAUGUGCCCAGAUGGGAUUAGCUAGUUGGUGAGGUAACGGCUCACCAAGGCGACGAUCCCUAGCUGGUCUGAGAGGAUGACCAGCCACACUGGAACUGAGACACGGUCCAGACUCCUACGGGAGGCAGCAGUGGGGAAUAUUGCACAAUGGGCGCAAGCCUGAUGCAGCCAUGCCGCGUGUAUGAAGAAGGCCUUCGGGUUGUAAAGUACUUUCAGCGGGGAGGAAGGUGUUGUGGUUAAUAACCGCAGCAAUUGACGUUACCCGCAGAAGAAGCACCGGCUAACUCCGUGCCAGCAGCCGCGGUAAUACGGAGGGUGCAAGCGUUAAUCGGAAUUACUGGGCGUAAAGCGCACGCAGGCGGUCUGUCAAGUCGGAUGUGAAAUCCCCGGGCUCAACCUGGGAACUGCAUUCGAAACUGGCAGGCUUGAGUCUUGUAGAGGGGGUAGAAUUCCAGGUGUAGCGGUGAAAUGCGUAGAGAUCUGGAGGAAUACCGGUGGCGAAGGCGGCCCCCUGGACAAAGACUGACGCUCAGGUGCGAAAGCGUGGGGAGCAAACAGGAUUAGAUACCCUGGUAGUCCACGCCGUAAACGAUGUCUACUUGGAGGUUGUGCCCUUGAGGCGUGGCUUCCGGAGCUAACGCGUUAAGUAGACCGCCUGGGGAGUACGGCCGCAAGGUUAAAACUCAAAUGAAUUGACGGGGGCCCGCACAAGCGGUGGAGCAUGUGGUUUAAUUCGAUGCAACGCGAAGAACCUUACCUGGUCUUGACAUCCACAGAACUUUCCAGAGAUGGAUUGGUGCCUUCGGGAACUGUGAGACAGGUGCUGCAUGGCUGUCGUCAGCUCGUGUUGUGAAAUGUUGGGUUAAGUCCCGCAACGAGCGCAACCCUUAUCCUUUGUUGCCAGCGGUUAGGCCGGGAACUCAAAGGAGACUGCCAGUGAUAAACUGGAGGAAGGUGGGGAUGACGUCAAGUCAUCAUGGCCCUUACGACCAGGGCUACACACGUGCUACAAUGGCGCAUACAAAGAGAAGCGACCUCGCGAGAGCAAGCGGACCUCAUAAAGUGCGUCGUAGUCCGGAUUGGAGUCUGCAACUCGACUCCAUGAAGUCGGAAUCGCUAGUAAUCGUGGAUCAGAAUGCCACGGUGAAUACGUUCCCGGGCCUUGUACACACCGCCCGUCACACCAUGGGAGUGGGUUGCAAAAGAAGUAGGUAGCUUAACCUUCGGGAGGGCGCUUACCACUUUGUGAUUCAUGACUGGGGUGAAGUCGUAACAAGGUAACCGUAGGGGAACCUGCGGUUGGAUCACCUCCUUACCUGAAAGAAGC